CCCCGCUUAGCUCAACGGUUAGAGCGUUCGGCUGUAGACCGGAAGGUUGCUGGUUCGAAUCUGGCAGCGGGGA
rnacentral:tRNA from 2 species